AUGAUUAUGAGAUCCAAUAGCCACGGAGAGCUCUACCCAUUCUUCACCAACUCCGGCGUCCAAGAAGCUCUCUCCGUCAUCACCGGCGACCUCUGGCAUCAACGUUUGGGACAUGCUAGCAAUAAAUCCGUUUGUGCUUUAGCUCGUGAUUUACUUCCCUCAUGUAAUAAAGACUUGCCUAGCACCACUAUUUGCUCCUCAUGUAAAUUAGGCAAGCAGCCCCGGCUGCCCUUUUCCCUUUCUGUAUCAAAAACAAGUGCACCCUUUCAACUAGUUUAUUGUGAUUUGUGGACGUCCCCUGUUCUUAGUUUCUCCGGGUUCCAGUACUAUCUCGUUAUUCUAGAUGAUUAUACGCACUACUCGUGGACGUUCCCAUUACGCAACAAAUCUGACACUGCCAAUACUAUUUCCCGUUUCUUCUCUUACGUCCUUACGCAAUUUCAUACUUCCAUACAGUGCAUGCAGUGCGACAACGGCGGUGAAUUUCUCACCUCUUCGUUGCGUGACUUGUUUUCUCGUCACGGGGCUUUGUUUCGACUCUCAUGCCCUCCCACUUCGCCGCAGAAUGGGAAGGCCGAGCGCCUCAUCCGGACUACCAACGAUAUACUACACGUCCUCCUCAUCCAUGCCAAACUCCCACCCCCGUUCUGGGUCCAAGCACUUCACACGGCCACCUACAUUCUCAACCGACGACCUUGCACUGCCAUCAACUUCGUCACACCGUACUACCAGCUUCUAGGGCACCAUCCUACCUACGACCACAUGUGUGUGUUCGGCUGCCUUUGUUUUCCCAACACUGUUGCAACCGCGCCGCACGAACUCGCGCCCCGCUCAUCCCGCUGUGUUUUUCUUGGGUACCCCCUGGAGCACAAAGGCUACCGAUGCCUUGAUCUCUCCUCCCGUAAGGUUAUUAUCUCCAGGCACGUAACUUUUGACGAACAAGUUUUUCCCUAUCUCCCUCCCGAACCUGCACGGCGCACGACACCCUCAGCUGCCACAGAAAAUCCCGGGAUCCAAUCUAUCCCGAAAACCCGCGCGCCACCUACCUCGUACCGGUCACCGCGCCGAUCCUUCCACCCAACUCACGUGCCUCGGAUCGGCCGCUGGCCCCGCCUCUCCAGCCACUCCUCCCACGCCACGCCCGGGGCCACCACCACUCCACCCGCACGCCACGCCACACCCAGGGCUGCCACCAUGUCCAAACUCCACCGAGCCGACAGAAUCCCCUGGCGCAUGCACGUCCCGCCACGCCUCUCCUGGUCCACCAAACCUUCCGUCUGUGAACCCGCGCAUGCACCCGAUUGCACCCAUGCACCCACUCCCGACGCGCCACCUAUGCCGUCUCUCCCGCCCCGCGCUAUUCCCGUCGCUCCACCAGCAAAUUAG
rnacentral:rRNA from 1 species